UACGGAGGGAGCUAGCGUUGUUCGGAAUUACUGGGCGUAAAGCGCACGUAGGCGGCUUUUUAAGUCAGGGGUGAAAUCCCGGGGCUCAACCCCGGAACUGCCCUUGAAACUGGAGAGCUAGAAUCUUGGAGAGGCGGAGUGGAAUUCCGAGUGUAGAGGUGAAAUUCGUAGAUAUUCGGAAGAACACCAGUGGCGAAGGCGACUCGCUGGACAAGUAUUGACGCUGAGGUGCGAAAGCGUGGGGAGCAAACAGG
rnacentral:rRNA from 1 species